AAAUAUUCACUAAUUUCUAUGCUCCUGUCAUCCAGGAGGGGCUGUUGUGCAUUCCCCUGCAGGAGGAUUUGCUUGCACAGUUGACCAUCCAAUCUACUAUUCACUACGAUCAAGGAAUACUGGACAAGCAAAGUGCUCAUUUGAUACAGUGCAGUUUAAGGAGCAACUGAACAGUCAAGCCACCAGAACUUCCUAAUCUGUGUAUCCUGAAACGAGUCGCUGUGCCUGCUCCAGAUGUCUGCACUGAUGCCCUGUUUCUCCCAGGUGUCAGUAGAACAGAACUGAAAUGCUUUCUCAGUUUUUCAAGACAGAGGACAAUAUUAUGUUCUUGGUGACAUUGAAUACUAUUCAAAGAACAGAAGAUACUUGAUUGUAUGAAGUCCUGAGACCUUGACAUAGCAAGAUCCCAUUAUCAGUGAGGGUGCCUCUGCUAUGGACCAUGACCCUAUCUACAAACACAGAACAAGAAGUGGUUCCUACUCCAGUGAUUUUAAAACUGAAGCAUAAGACAAGAUAUGAAAGAAAGACAAAGGAAUGCAAAGAAACAAUAAGAAACAAUAGAGGCACCAGCUGUUUGACAACUGUCAGGCUAAGCAGCUAAGUUGUCACCAUGGCCCAGCUGGCAUUAGGAAUCAAACUCCUUGCAGGGAGAAGAAGAUUUGUUUCAUCUAAUGCUUCUAUACUGAGUGACUUUUCCACUGGCAAAAGCAAGUGGGAAACUGGAGUCUUCAUGUGGCCAUGCCGCCAAUGCUGGAUGGGACAAAGAUUGUACACUGAGCUCUUAAUGUUAAAGACAGAGAAGUUUUCUCUAUCUGUGUUGAUUUUGAAGAAGAGAUGUAUUAUAGCAAGAAGAGUCAGUCUGUGUCCUUGAGAGGCUUGCUAUGAAAGAGAAUGCACCUCACUUUUGUAAAAGCAGAUAUUUCC